rnacentral:rRNA from 1 species
UACGUAGGGUGCAAGCGUUAUCCGGAAUUAUUGGGCGUAAAGAGCUCGUAGGCGGUUUGUCGCGUCUGCUGUGAAAACUGGAGGCUCAACCUCCAGCCUGCAGUGGGUACGGGCAGACUAGAGUGCGGUAGGGGAGAUUGGAAUUCCUGGUGUAGCGGUGGAAUGCGCAGAUAUCAGGAGGAACACCGAUGGCGAAGGCAGAUCUCUGGGCCGUAGCUGACGCUGAGGAGCGAGAGCGUGGGGAGCGAACAGG